AAUUACAUCGAUUUUAUAUGAUAGCUCACACAAUUAUUUGCAAUGUCCCUCGCAUCUUUUUUGCCUUUCUUAUAUUGUAUUUUAUUUCUUUAUAAAUUUUUAUUUUUAAAAAUUGAUCUCACUGAACUAAAGAGCUGAAUCCGUGCCUGUUCCCUCUGCGGCUCCGCAUCCACCCUCGCCGUCAGCUAUGGCCCCACCACCAUCUGCGGUAUUGUCGCCGAGCAACAAACACAGAGAAUCCAUCAUAUUAUUCUCUGGAAAUGACGGUUUGAAAGCCAAUCCAAUUACCGUUGAGAUGAUUAAUUACGCUCUUUCUCUUGCAAGAUCAACAUAACAGGAAGGCUGAAGCGGAGAGGAUGAAAAAGUGGGCAGAGACUGUAUGGGUCAAUUGUCAUCUGUCGCUAGCUAAGGCACUAAAUAUAUAUGAGUUUCUGAGAAUUUAAUGUUUCUUACUACUAGCAGAGAUCCCGGCAAUCUGUACUAUCUACUUGUUGUAUGUUUUGUUGGAAUAAACUUUGAGAAAAUAAACCACGAAUGAGUUUUCUGUUUUUUUUCUAGUGUGCUAUGUCAAAUUGGUUACAGACUUGAUGGUAAGUUGAGUUGGAGGGGGACUGCAGAAUUCAACUGCUUAAGGUGAUGACUUGCUGCACAACCGCUUUUUAAUGAA
rnacentral:lncRNA from 1 species